rnacentral:rRNA from 1 species
AUUGAACGCUGGCGGCAGGCCUAACACAUGCAAGUCGAACGAGUGGCGGACGGGUGAGUAAUGUCUGGGAAACUGCCUGAUGGAGGGGGAUAACUACUGGAAACGGUAGCUAAUACCGCAUACCAUCAGAUGUGCCCAGAUAGGAUUAGCUUGUUGGUGGGGUAACGGCUCACCAAGGCGAAGAUCACUAGCUGGUCUGCGAGGAUGACCAGCCAUCAUGGAACUGAGACACGGCCCAGCCUCCUACGGGAGGCAGCAGUGGGGAAUAUGGGCCAGUGGGCGCAAGCCUGAUGCAGCCAUGCCGCGUGUAUGAAGAAGGUCUUCGGGUUGUAAAGUACUUUCAGCGGGGAGGCGUUACCCGCAGAAGAAGCACCGGCUAACUCCGUGCCAGCAGCCGCGGUAAUUC